rnacentral:lncRNA from 1 species
CACAGUUGGGGAGUAGGCAAUAGCCUUUGAUUCCAUUGCACAAACUGAACCACCCUUACUUCUGCUUUUUUAGAGCUUGAAAAACUUGUGUCUUUGGCAGAGAAAUAACUGCAGCAAGACCCAGGUACUCAGCCCUACAACAGCUGUAAAGACCCCGUCCCAGAACUAAAGAGAUCCCUGUGAAGAGCUCGAUCAGACCCUCAGUGGGUGUCUGGUGUUGAAGAUUCUCCCAGAAGGUCCCUGUCACUGUGAUUUGAUACCAGAUGCCACCUGAUAGACACACUGGCCCAAUGGAGCAGAGAAAGGGCUGCAAGGUGUUCGAAGAAGAAAAGGGAGCCCAGGCGAGGCCCAGAGUCUGGCUAAGUUUGGACCAGUCACGCCUGGGGAAUUUGGAUUGAAGUGA